CAGCCACAUCACGUUGAAAGACCAGUUCCCCUACGUUCACUGAAGUUCAGCAACAUCGAGCAUGGUUACUACCAAGAUGGGUGACCACUUUGGAAUAGUAGGUGCUGUAAG